AUUGAACGCUGGCGGCAGGCCAAACACAUGCAAGUCGAGCGGAUGACGGGAGCUUGCUCCUUGAUUCAGCGGCGGACGGGUGAGUAAUGCCUAGGAAUCUGCCUGGUAGUGGGGGACAACGUUUCGAAAGGAACGCUAAUACCGCAUACGUCCUACGGGAGAAAGCAGGGGACCUUCGGGCCUUGCGCUAUCAGAUGAGCCUAGGUCGGAUUAGCUAGUUGGUGGGGUAUGGCUCACCAAGGCGACGAUCCGUAACUGGUCUGAGAGGAUGAUCAGUCACACUGGAACUGAGACACGGUCCAGACUCCUACGGGAGGCAGCAGUGGGGAAUAUUGGACAAUGGGCGAAAGCCUGAUCCAGCCAUGCCGCGUGUGUGAAGAAGGUCUUCGGAUUGUAAAGCACUUUAAGUUGGGAGGAAGGGCAGUAAGCUAAUACCUUGCUGUUUUGACGUUACCGACAGAAUAAGCACCGGCUAACUCUGUGCCAGCCGCCGCCGUAACAC
rnacentral:rRNA from 1 species